rnacentral:lncRNA from 1 species
UGAUGUGGACGCUCUAUAGAGCCUCAAAAGGUCCCUUUUAUUAGUAUAGAGAUAAGUGUUAAUAUUUAAUGUAUUCUUUCCAUUUUUUUAAAAUUGUGCAUUUACUUAUUAUUGUAUAUAUAAUUCGUAUAUUUAUAUAUUUAUAAUAUAUACUUAUUAUUUAUUUUUCUAUAUAUUGAGUAUUUCUCUUUCUUAUACUUUAUAUUUAGUUAAUAUCUAUAUUUUAUAUUUUAAGAUAGAUGUUUAAGUUUUAAUGUAUUUUUCCAUUUUUAAUGUACAACGACAAUGUUUAAUAGAAGAAUUUGGACAAAUAGUCAAAUAGUUAUAUUUAUGUUUUUUUUUUUUUUUUAUAAAAUGGUAAUGUUACAUUAUGGAGAUAAACCGUUUUUUUUAGUGAAAAAUAGUAAUCUUACAUAUGUUUAAUGUAGA